rnacentral:sRNA from 1 species
AUACUACUUCCACAAACCUGAUUUGAUUGUCACUAACUUUCAAAUUGAAAGGGAUCUACUACAACUGCUCAUGAAUUUUGAGAUUUUACAGCAAAUAGAGGAACAAAUAUUUAGAGUAUCAUGAGUCAUUGACUUAUGAAAACAAAAUGCAACAGCAAAUUAUCAGUCAGCACUUUUCAAGAUGAGGAAAAGAACAGUAUAAGCUACAUUCAUUGAUGCAUUAUUUAUACAAAAAUGUAUAAGUCAACCCAGUCAUCACUCCAUUUUUUUAUGAAGCCAGUUAUAGUUACCAUGAAGGGAUGAAAUUUCAGAUAAUAUUCUGUUUGUUUUAUGAAAUGAGAAUAGGCCUACAUCAGAAAUUAAAAUGGUCAUCUUCAGUAAUACAUAUUUGAUGUACAAAUAAAUGAAAACCAUUCAAACACUUUUUUUGUGUGAAGUAUAGAUGAUUAAACUUGUAAGUGUCUGAACAAUA